UUCGAGUUGUCAUGAGACGUGUGUAGGUCCUACUACUGCUGCAGGAUCUACUUCAGUUCCAGAUGAGCAUGAUGCAACAGAUGAUAGUAUGAUGACAUCUUAUAUGGAUUUUCUUUGCUCGGAUGUUCAUCUUGACCAGAUAAGGACUACGCCUAAUAUUAGAGUUAAUAUUGCAUCUACUGGAAGACAACUCGGCACACCUUAUGGGGAUUCAGGUCAUGAGGGACCCUCUACAUCACAUCGAGAAGAGGGUCUGACUAUUGUGACACC